GGCGCUGUGGCUUAGUUGGUUAAAGCGCCUGUCUUGUAAACAGAAGAUUUUGAGUGCGACUCUCAGCAGUGUCU
rnacentral:tRNA from 1 species